UACGUAGGGACCGAGCGUUGUCCGGAUUCAUUGGGCGUAAAGAGCUCGUAGGCGGCUGUUCAAGUCGAACGUGAAAACUCGGAGCUCAACUCCGAGCCUGCGUUCGAUACUGGACGGCUAGAGUCUGGUAGGGGGAUCUGGAAUUCCUGGUGUAGCGGUGGAAUGCGCAGAUAUCAGGAGGAACACCGGUGGCGAAGGCGGGUCUCUGGGCCGAUACUGACGCUGAGGAGCGAAAGCGUGGGGAGCGAACAGG
rnacentral:rRNA from 1 species